rnacentral:rRNA from 1 species
CCUACGGGAGGCAGCAGUGAGGAAUAUUGGUCAAUGGCCGAGAGGCUGAACCAGCCAAGUCGCGUGAGGGAAGACGGCCCUACGGGUUGUAAACCUCUUUUGUCGGGGAGCAAAGCGAGUCACGUGUGACUCAUUGAGAGUACCCGAAGAAAAAGCAUCGGCUAACUCCGUGCCAGCAGCCGCGGUAAUACGGAGGAUGCGAGCGUUAUCCGGAUUUAUUGGGUUUAAAGGGUGCGCAGGCGGAUUUUUAAGUCAGCGGUCAAAUCGUGGGGCUCAACCCCAUCCAGCCGUUGAAACUGGGGAUC